UAAGCUAUGGGAUGUGGCAGGGGUCACAUGACCUGGCUGCAGAUGUGGAAGGAUGCAAAGCCACUGCCCUCCAGGAUUUCUCGCUGGUGCUCCCCUCUGGCCAAUCACCAGCCGGGGCAAGGGAGCCGCAGUGAUAGAGCACAUAAAGGAUGAUAGCUCCGGUCCCUUGCAGGAUGAUGCAGCUGCUUGUGAAUGUCCUCCAGGGAGCCCAGCCCCACCCUCUGCUCAGUGAAAAUCAUGGGCUACUACAGGCUAAUGGGAGGAGGACUGCAGAGGGCAGCCACCCUGGAGAGCAGAGCCCUCAGAUGGAGACAGCUGGCUUCCGUCUGAGCAGAGCCCAGUACGCUGCACGCAGGACGUGUUCAUAG
rnacentral:lncRNA from 1 species